rnacentral:rRNA from 1 species
UAAAUAGCCAGGCUAGCUUUGGCUGGUCGCCGGCUUCUUAGAGGGACUAUCGGCUCAAGCCGAUGGAAGUUUGAGGCAAUAACAGGUCUGUGAUGCCCUUAAAUCUAGGGGUGUAAAUUUUUUAGUCGUUUUGCGGCAACAUUGCUACUCUGGCAGGAAAGCAUUCCAAGCAACCUGCAGCUGCUGUGGCAGUACAGAGACUAAAUGGCAGUGGGCGUUAAAAGGCGCUUCUGAUAUAGUCCAACCCUUAGGAGAAGUUCUAAGGUCUUAAGUGUAGAUGUUCUGGGCCGCACGCGCGCUACACUGACAGAGCCAACGAGUUCAUCACCUUGGCCGAAAGGUCUG